rnacentral:rRNA from 1 species
AUGGCUGUCGUCAGCUCGUGCUGUGAAGUGUCGGGUUAAGUCCCUUAACGAGCGCAACCCCUAUCGUUAGUUACUAACGCGUUAUGGCGAGGACUCUAGCGAGACUGCCGGUGUCAAACCGGAGGAAGGUGGGGAUGACGUCAAGUCCUCAUGGCCUUUAUGCCCAGGGAUGCAAACGUGCUACAAUGGUACGGACAAAGCGAUGCGAUACCGCGAGGUGGAGCAAAUCGCAAAAACCGUGCCCCAGUUCGGAUAGCAGGCUGCAAUUCGCCUGCUUGAAGCCGGAAUCGCUAGUAAUCGCGUAUCAGCUACGACGCGGUGAAUACGUUCCUGAGCCUUGUACACACCGCCCGUGGGGCGGGGGCGGCGGGCCGGGCGCGGGGCGCGGCGGGCG